AUUAAUGUUGGAAAAAGAGUUCUAAUAUUUUUAUUAAAACAAGAAAAUCCUUAAUAAAAAUAUUAGAACUCUUUUUCCAACAUUAAU